rnacentral:sRNA from 1 species
GCGUGCAGAUUUUCUCGCCAAAACAAG